GUUUCCGUAGGUGAACCUGCUGAAGGAUCAUUAAUGAGUUGUCAUGGGGUUCGAUGCUGGCAGCCAAUUUUUGGAUGCAUGUGCUUGCCCUAACAAUCAUCUUCCAAACACCUGUGCACAUUUUUGAGGGAGUCUUGAGUUGGUUGCCGCUCUUGGGUGAUUUUCUCACAUUCCCUUAAAUCAUUAUACGCUAUUAACAAUGUUGAACGUGCUCUGUGCCGCAAGGCUAUUAAUAUAAUACAACUUUUAACAACGGAUCUCUUGGCUCUC
rnacentral:misc_RNA from 1 species